rnacentral:rRNA from 1 species
AUACGGAGGGUGCAAGCGUUGUUCGGAAUUACUGGGCGUAAAGCGCGUGCAGGCGGUAAGGUAAGUCAGAUGUGAAAGCCCCGGGCUCAACCUGGGAAGUGCAUUUGAUACUGCCUUUCUUGAGUAUGGGAGAGGAGAGUGGAAUUCCCAGUGUAGAGGUGAAAUUCGUAGAUAUUGGGAGGAACACCCGUGGCGAAGGCGACUCUCUGGACCAAUACUGACGCUGAGACGCGAAAGCGUGGGGAGCGAACAGGAUUAGAUACCCUAGUAGUCC